UACGUAGGGUGCAAGCGUUAAUCGGAAUUACUGGGCGUAAAGCGUGCGCAGGCGGUGAUGUAAGACAGUUGUGAAAUCCCGGGCUCAACCUGGGAACUGCAUCUGUGACUGCAUCGCUGGAGUACGGUAGAGGGGAUGGAAUUCCGCGUGUAGCAGUGAAAUGCGUAGAUAUGCGGAGGAACACCGAUGGCGAAGGCAAUCCCUGGGCCUGCACUGACGCUCAUGCACGAAAGCGUGGGGAGCAAACAGG
rnacentral:rRNA from 1 species